rnacentral:lncRNA from 1 species
UUUGGGGUUAAAUUCGUGCUUACCCAGUUGGUAAAUAGAUUGGUUUGACGGUGAAGCUACGAAACUCCAGAAACCAAUACCAAUUGAUCCUCCUGACCGAUCUCCAUCUGCCACUGCUCUCUUAAUUUUCAGGUUCAUCAGACUUCACAACAAUCAGAACCAACUUAUGUACGAGAGCCAUUCGGUGCUCUAGAAGAAGGCACAACUCGCUGGACGGUUUGUCAGCCUGAAACAAUGGCAACUCUGGCAGAUACGUUUCUUGCUGACUGUGAUUAGCUAUCUGACAAUGAAGCUGAUAUUCCUGAAGGACGCCGUGCACAUUUCAUCGAAAGAGACUUGACUGAGCUGGU